CGCCGGCUGUGGGUGUCACCGACUCCACGCCUUUCUGCCCGUCCUACCGGACCACUUGGCCAGGCUGAGCUGCGACCCGAUUGUGACGGGCUGCACCGCAGGCACAGCCGCGUGGCUGAACAGCCCCAGUUUUCUUAGCCUUUCUUCAUAGAAGAAGUGCUUCAGCCUUCUGAUAAUUUUUGUGGCCCUCCUCUGGACUUGCUGCAACAGGUCAAUGUCUUUCUUGUACUGGGACCCCAGAGCUGGAUGCAGAACUGCAGGUGGAGCCAGACCAGAGUAGAGGGGCAGAAUCCCCUCCCUCAGCCUGCUGGCCAGACUGCUUUUGGUGCAGCUCAGGAUAUGGUUGGCUUUCAUGGAAGGCUCUAUCUGCUGAAAAAAGAUAAGGAUUUACAGAGCAAGAGGAGCAAACACCAGUGUCUUAAGCAGCUGUAAGCUCAUCAGAAAGAUGUCACUGUGCUGUUGGGCCUAGCCACGGUCUACAACUGUUGUUUUCCCUGACCUACUUCCAGCAUUUAGACUACAAUAAAAGACAAUUUAAAAUGUACAAUUUCCCUCCACAUUAUGUGUGAGACAGUAAUUGCUGGAGUCACACCAAUGAUGGCAAGGAUUUGCAAAAGGAAGGAGGAAGUGACUGUGAAUGAAAGGAAGGCAAUCUCACAGAUGAUUAUGAAGUAGACCAUGAAAUAAACAUAUGUGCAUAAAGCUGUUUAAAAAAUCUGUAUUACAUUUUACCCUGUUCAAAAGUGCUCAGAAGACUAGAGUUGAAUGACAAAAUCUCUUCCACCUGUAAUGGCAAGAAAAACAUUUGAAGCAGACUGACUUCUUCAGUACAAAGCAGAUUAAAACUAUCUGGCUAAUGUCAUACAUACUACUGAACAGUCAACAACUGAGGUCCUGUUCAUCACCUUGCAUUGCAAGAUGAUGAUGUGUAAGGGUAAAUAUUCUAGCAGUAGCAUAUUUAGGAAAUACUGCAAGUUUGAAUGCAAUUCCUUCCCCCAAUCAGAAACAACCUUUUUACUUUCUAUUAAUUACAGCUUAUUCCAAGCAGGCUGCAUAUCUCCCUUUAAGUAACCCAAACUUAAUGACUGCAAUACUGACUACUAUUAAUAUUGAAAAUAAUUUAUAAGCAUAUCUAGAAAAACCAAGGAAAAGAGAAAGGGCAUAAUGAAAAUCUUCAGUCUUCUGUUUCUAUGCUCUUGUCUCAGACUGAAACUUUUGCCUGCUUGAAAAAGAAAUGUGAAACACAAACUCACUUGCACUGCUGUAAUAAGCUUGUAUUUACAGGAAACAUUGCAAAGGCUUUCCUAGUGUACAUGUUCAUCUGUUUUGUUUAGCCAAAUAGCCUCCAGGAUCCUUCCUAAUCAAGGAAGAACAGCAUCAGAAGCACCCAGCAAAUGCAGCUACUUUCACAUCUCUCCCCUUUCUGCUAUAAAAUUUUGGAAUUACCUACCACUAAACCUAUCCAUGUUAUCUUUUUACCCUUCAGUUAUGAAACUGAGAUCCCUUUCCAGAGACUGACUGCACUUCACUUUAUUCAGUUCCUUGCUGCAAACUUGUGCUGGUUUAAAGGUAAACCAGCAGGGGAAAUGAACUCAACCCAAAAGAGAGAUUAUAAAUCAGAAUAACAAUUUAAUAAAAUAAUAUAAUAAGUACGAUUA